rnacentral:rRNA from 1 species
AGUGAACGCUGGCGGUAGGCCUAACACAUGCAAGUCGAACGGCAGCACAGUAAGAGCUUGCUCUUACGGGUGGCGAGUGGCGGACGGGUGAGGAAUACAUCGGAAUCUACUUUUUCGUGGGGGAUAACGUAGGGAAACUUACGCUAAUACCGCAUACGCCCUACGGGUGAAAGCAGGGGAUCUUCGGACCUUGCGCGAUUGAAUGAGCCGAUGUCGGAUUAGCUAGUUGGCGGGGUAAAGGCCCACCAAGGCGGCGAUCCGUAGCUGGUCUGAGAGGAUGAUCAGCCACACUGGAACUGAGACACGGUCCAGACUCCUACGGGAGGCAGCAGUGGGGAAUAUUGGACAAUGGGCGGAAGCCUGAUCCAGCCAUACCGCGUGGGUGAAGAAGGCCUUCGGGUUGUAAAGCCCUUUUGUUGGGAAAGAAAAGCAGCAGGUUAAUACCCCGCUGUUCUGACGGUACCCAAAGAAUAAGCACCGGCUAACUUCGUG